UUUGUCCUGGGUCUUUCAGCACCUCAAGCACAGCACAGCUGCUCAGCUGUGUCUGUGACAUCAGGGCCAAGAGCAAGUGUCUAUUUCUACGUUCAGCGUUCAGAAGCCAGUGAGCGUUAAGGAUGUUUAUAGCCUGACAUAU
ensembl:snoRNA